rnacentral:sRNA from 1 species
CUAAUAUCUAUCACCGCCAAUAGGAAAAAGACAGGUGUGUAGAGUAGUGGUUGUGUAGAGAGAUGAGAGAGAAAAAAAAGGGAGAACUUGCCUGUGGAAUAAUUGCAGAGAGAAGGAAGCAGUUCCUUGAACCAAUUCAAUUGAUCUGUCAGAGAAUGAUUGGUUGGAAGAGAAAUGCCCCUCUGUUCGAAAAAGCUCGGCUCUAAAGCCGUGGCUCCAAUCACAGCAAAAUUGGUUCCUCCCUCCGCAUUCUUCUUUUCCUUAUAAGCUUUCACCAAUGGAAGUCCCAAUGCCUCAGCUGCAAAUAACAAAAAAACAAAGCUACCUUCAUUCAUUUAAAUUAUUUUUUUCCAUUUAUGUUUGAACUUAAUCUACAAAACCCAAUUUAUAAGUUCAUCACUAACUGUCAUUCACUCAAACAUUUGAAUUCAAAUAUACUUGUGCUUUACAACACAUUCAUCUCACAGAAGAUAACAGAUCUAUGGAUGAUCUAGCUAAUAGAUAGAUUUUUUUUACAUCUAUUCUAAUUUGAUUAUACUUGAAAUGAAAAAUUAAAAGUAGGAGUGAGAGAAACAGAGAAACGGAACCGAUGAAAUCGAUGAUGAGGCGGCCAUCGGAGCAGCGUCCAGAGACAUGGUGGAAGAACGUUUCACCGUAGGGAGGAAGGAAGCAGUCUUCAGAAGGGUGGUAGGAAGCGAGAUACAAGUUGCCAGUGUCAGCAAGAGAAUCGCCGAAACUGAAGAUGGAGGUGAAUGGGCAUGGCGACACCGCUAAUAACGGUGGUGAUUCUGAAUACGAAGUAGCUAAAACAAAUGUUGCAGUUACCACUGCAAUUGUAAUCCAUCGCUGUUCACAGAUUGACUUCAUUCGGAACGCGAUGCACAGCACACAA